UGACCCUACUUCAGGAAAAAGGUUCUAAUGAAAUUGUUUUCAAAGCAAUGGGGAGGGCUAUAAACAAGACUGUGACUAUUGUGGAAUUAAUCAAGAGGCGAAUUGUAGGUCUUCAUCAGAAUACCUCAAUUGGCUCCACAGACAUCACUGAUACAUGGGAGCCCUUGGAGGAAGGCCUUCUUCCAUUGGAAACAACAAGGCAUGUCUCGAUGAUUGUGAUAACCCUUUCAAAGAAGGAAUUAAAUAAAUCCUCUGUGGGGUAUCAGCCUCCACUUCCUGCGGAGCUGGUGAAAACAUUUGUAGAGUAUGACUACGAGGGAGAAGGCUCACCUCACGAUCAGGGUCCAGGACGAGGUAGAGGUCGGGGCCGCAAUGGCAGAGGAAGGUCUAGGGGUAGAGGACCCCCAGGUAAUGGCUUUGUAGCUAAUGAAUAUGAUGAUGGAGAUUGGGACCGUAAUAGGGGUGGUA
rnacentral:misc_RNA from 1 species